CGCCACAGCCAUAUCACCUUGCAGCCCAAGACUGGUUGCCCACUGAAGCUAAGCAGGGUUGAGCCUGGUCAAUACCUGGAUGGGAGACCUCCUGAGAAAACUAGGUUGCUGUUGGAA
rnacentral:rRNA from 1 species